UAGGGAAUAUUGGACAAUGGGGGCAACCCUGAUCCAGCCAUGCCGCGUGAGUGAAGAAGGCCCUCGGGUUGUAAAGCUCUUUUGUCCGGAAAGAAAAGCUUCGGGCUAAUACCCCGGGGUUCUGACGGUACCGGAGGAAUAAGCACCGGCUAACUUCGUGCCAGCAGCCGCGGUAAUACGAAGGGUGCAAGCGUUACUCGGAAUUACUGGGCGUAAAGCGUGCGUAGGUGGUUGUUUAAGUCUGAUGUGAAAGCCCUGGGCUCAACCUGGGAAUGGCAUUGGAAACUGGGCAGCUAGAGUGCGGUAGAGGGUAGUGGAAUUCCCGGUGUAGCAGUGAAAUGCGUAGAGAUCGGGAGGAACAUCUGUGGCGAAGGCGACUGCCUGGACCAGCACUGACACUGAGGCACAAAAGCGUGGGGAGCAAACA
rnacentral:rRNA from 1 species